rnacentral:rRNA from 1 species
CGAGGGGAGUGAAAAAGAACCUGAAACCGUGUACGUACAAGCAGUGGGAGCACGCUUAGGCGUGUGACUGCGUACCUUUUGUAUAAUGGGUCAGCGACUUAUAUUCUGUAGCAAGGUUAACCGAAUAGGGGAGCCGAAGGGAAACCGAGUCUUAACUGGGCGUUAAGUUGCAGGGUAUAGACCCGAAACCCGGUGAUCUAGCCAUGGGCAGGUUGAAGGUUGGGUAACACUAACUGGAGGACCGAACCGACUAAUGUUGAAAAAUUAGCGGAUGACUUGUGGCUGGGGGUGAAAGGCCAAUCAAACCGGGAGAUAGCUGGUUCUCCCCGAAAGCUAUUUAGGUAGCGCCUCGUGAAUUCAUCUCCGGGGGUAGAGCACUGUUUCGGCAAGGGGGUCAUCCCGACUUACCAACCCGAUGCAAACUGCGAAUACCGGAGAAUGUUAUCACGGGAGACACACGGCGGGUGCUAACGUCCGUCGUGAAGAGGGAAACAACCCAGACCGCCAGCUAAGGUCCCAAAGUCAUGGUUAAGUGGGAAACGAUGUGGGAAGGCCCAGACAGCCAGGAUGUUGGCUUAGAAGCAGCCAUCAUUUAAAGAAAGCGUAAUAGCUCACUGGUCGAGUCGGCCUGCGCGGAAGAUGUAACGGGGCUAAACCAUGCACCGAAGCUGCGGCAGCGACGCUGAUGCGUUGUUGGGUAGGGGAGCGUUCUGUAAGCCUGCGAAGGUGUGCUGUGAGGCAUGCUGGAGGUAUCAGAAGUGCGAAUGCUGACAUAAGUAACGAUAAAGCGGGUGAAAAGCCCGCUCGCCGGAAGACCAAGGGUUCCUGUCCAACGUUAAUCGGGGCAGGGUGAGUCGACCCCU